rnacentral:rRNA from 1 species
CUGGCGGCGUGCCUAAUACAUGCAAGUCGAACGGUCGUUUCUAUGGAAGCUUGCUUCCACUGAGAAGAUAGUGGCGAACGGGUGAGGUAACACGUGGGGUAACCUGCCCAUAAGAGGGGGGAUAACAUCCGGAAACGGGUGCUAAUACCGCAUAGUUUUCUUGAUCGCAUGAUUGAGAAAGGAAAGACGGCCUUUGUGCUGUCGCUUAUGGAUGGACCCGCGGCGUAUUAGUUAGUUGGUGAGGUAACGGCUCACCAAGACGAUGAUACGUAGCCGACCUGAGAGGGUGAUCGGCCACAUUGGGACUGAGACACGGCCCAAACUCCUACGGGAGGCAGCAGUAGGGAAUCUUCCGCAAUGGACGAAAGUCUGACGGAGCAACGCCGCGUGAGUGAAGAAAGGUUUUCGGAUCGUAAAACUCUGUUGUCAGAGAAGAACAAGUUGGAGAGUAACUGCUCCAGCCUUGACGGUAUCUGACCAGAAAGCCACGGCUAACUACGUGCCAGCCGCUGC